rnacentral:rRNA from 1 species
GAUGAACGCUGGCGGCGUGCCUAAUACAUGCAAGUCGAGCGAACAGACGAGGAGCCUGCUCCUCUGACGUUAGCGGCGGACGGGUGAGUAACACGUGGAUAACCUACCUAUAAGACUGGGAUAACUUCGGGAAACCGGAGCUAAUACCGGAUAAUAUAUUGAACCGCAUGGUUCAAUAGUGAAAGACGGUUUUGCUGUCACUUAUAGAUGGAUCCGCGCCGCAUUAGCUAGUUGGUAAGGUAACGGCUUACCAAGGCAACGAUGCGUAGCCGACCUGAGAGGGUGAUCGGCCACACUGGAACUGAGACACGGUCCAGACUCCUACGGGAGGCAGCAGUAGGGAAUCUUCCGCAAUGGGCGAAAGCCUGACGGAGCCACGCCGCGUGAGUGAUGAAGGUCUUCGGAUCGUAAAACUCUGUUAUUAGGGAAGAACAAAUGUGUAAGUAACUCUGCACGUCUUGACGGUACCUAAUCAGAAAGCCCCGGCUAACUACGUG